rnacentral:rRNA from 1 species
CUCCAGUUGAUCGCAUGGUCUUCUGGGAAAGCUUUCGCGGUAUGGGAUGGGGUCGCGUCCUAUCAGCUUGACGGCGGGGUAACGGCCCACCGUGGCUUCGACGGGUAGCCGGCCUGAGAGGGCGACCGGCCACAUUGGGACUGAGAUACGGCCCAGACUCCUACGGGAGGCAGCAGUGGGGAAUAUUGCACAAUGGGCGCAAGCCUGAUGCAGCGACGCCGCGUGAGGGAUGGAGGCCUUCGGGUUGUAAACCUCUUUUAUCGGGGAGCAAGCGAGAGUGAGUUUACCCGUUGAAUAAGCACCGGCUAACUACGUGCCAGCAGCCGCGGUAAUACGUAGGGUGCAAGCGUUAUCCGGAAUUAUUGGGCGUAAAGGGCUCGUAGGCGGUUCGUCGCGUCCGGUGUGAAAGUCCAUCGCUUAACGGUGGAUCCGCGCCGGGUACGGGCGG